UAAUAGUCACCUAUUUAUUAUCCUUGAGGG
rnacentral:piRNA from 1 species